UAUUACUCAUAUGGAUUUUUAGUCUCUUCUGAUUUCUUUUCCCCUUUGUGGACACAUAUCUCCACAGAGUAUUACUCUUUGCAUACAUGCAUUUUUGCAUCAUGAGGUCUCUUAGGGACCAAAAUUCGUCUCUUUGUUAUUAUUUAAGCCCAUUCUACCACGUCGAGACGAAGAUUUUAACCUUCAUAUCUCUGGCUAGAAUGACCUUAAAUAGGGGCAUAAUUAUUUAAGCCCAUUCUACCACGUCGAGACGAAGAUUUUAACCUUCAUAUCUCUGGCUAGAAUGACCUUAAAUAGGGGCAUCUGUAAG
rnacentral:lncRNA from 1 species